rnacentral:rRNA from 1 species
GACGAACGCUGGCGGCGUGCUUAACACAUGCAAGUCGAACGGAAAGGCCCUGCUUUUGUGGGGUGCUCGAGUGGCGAACGGGUGAGUAACACGUGAGUAACCUGCCCUUGACUUUGGGAUAACUUCAGGAAACUGGGGCUAAUACCGGAUAGGAGCUCCUGCUGCAUGGUGGGGGUUGGAAGGUUUCGGCGGUUGGGGAUGGACUCGCGGCUUAUCAGCUUGUUGGUGGGGUAGUGGCUUACCAAGGCUUUGGCGGGUAGCCGGCCUGAGAGGGUGACCGGCCACAUUGGGACUGAGAUACGGCCCAGACUCCUACGGGAGGCAGCAGUGGGGAAUAUUGCACAAUGGGCGGAAGCCUGAUGAAGCAACGCCGCGUGCGGGAUGACGGCCUUCGGGUUGUAAACCGCUUUCGCCUGUGACGAAGCGUGAGUGACGGUAAUGGGUAAAGAAGCACCGGCUAACUACGUG